rnacentral:rRNA from 1 species
UACGUAGGGAGCAAGCGUUGUCCGGAAUCAUUGGGCGUAAAGCGCGCGUAGGCGGCCCUGUAAGUCCGCUGUGAAAGUCGGGGGCUCAACCCUCGAAUGCCGGUGGAUACUGUCGGGCUAGAGUGCGGAAGAGGCGAGUGGAAUUCCUGGUGUAGCGGUGAAAUGCGCAGAUAUCAGGAGGAACACCUAUUGCGAAGGCAGCUCGCUGGGACGCAACUGACGCUGAGACGCGAAAGCGUGGGGAGCAAACAGG